AGAGUUUGAUCCUGGCUUAGGAUGAACGCUAGCGACAGGCCUAACACAUGCAAGUCGAGGGGCAGCGGAGAGGUAGCAAUACCUUUGCCGGCGACCGGCGCACGGGUGAGUAACACGUAUGCAAUCCACCUGUAACAGGGGGAUAACCCGGAGAAAUCCGGACUAAUACCCCAUAAUAUGGGCGCUCCGCAUGGAGAGCCCAUUAAAGAGAGCAAUUUUGGUUACAGACGAGCAUGCGCUCCAUUAGCCG
rnacentral:rRNA from 1 species